rfam:Nematostella vectensis strain CH2 x CH6 NEMVEscaffold_310_Cont23312, whole genome shotgun sequence.
CAAUUCUUUUGCGAGUCCUUGCUGUGUGCGGAUAGAUCGCGGAUAGCGGAGCCUCUCGGCAAAGCAAAUGACAGAUGUCAUUUUUCACGUUGACCUCAGAUCAGGCAAGGCAACCCGCUGAAUUUAAGCAUAUUAAUAAGCGGAGGAAAAGAAACUAACAAGGAUUCCCCUAGUAAUGGCGAAUGAAGCGGGAACAGCUCAAAUUUAAAAUCUCCGUUGCCUAAUCUCCGUUACCCUACUGCCUCCUCGUGGCGAGAGUCGUGAGUAGGUUGCCUUGGCAACCGAAACUAAAUCUGUUCCAGCGGCUUCAGGCGACGAGCGUGGUGGAGAGCUGUACCUUACUGUAACCAGUUCUUCAAAUACCUCUGCUCCGAGCGUACCAGCCGGAGAUCAAUUUGCAUACGGCGAGUGAGACCCGUGUAGAAGCAGUGAAGGUGCCAUAACUGCCUGGCAGGGUGCCGGAUGGUGUGGAGCGGGGAAGAUGUUCUGACGAGAUCGGCCUUUUGGGCUGGUCUCUGACGUCCAUCGCUCAUGGAGCCAGCGAGCGUCACAAUUGCCGCCCUUACGGGCUUCGCGACUGGUUAGACUAAUGGCUUAGUCGCGUGGACCAUGGGCUCUCUGGGGAGGUUCUAGGCCCAAUGGCUGAACUUUCCCCCUAGGGUUGACGAGAGAAAGGUUGAUUAACUCUGGUAAAAUGAGCAACUACCAGAGGGUGUUCGAGAGCUUCGGCUCGCUAGCAAUGCCCGCCCAGGGGUGCGCAGUGACGUAUGUCACUCCUAGGGUGUGGUGCCGAACCGGCGGGGGCUCACGUCCCGACCUCGGUCAAUCGAUGUCGGCUCUUCCUAUCAUUGCGAAGCAGAAUUCGCCCAGUGUUGGAUUGUUCACCCACUAAUAGGGAACGUGAGCUGGGUUUAGACCGUCGUGAGACAGGUUAGUUUUACCCUACUGAUGAAGUGUUGUUGCAAUAGUAAUUCUGCUCAGUACGAGAGGAACCGCAGAUUCAGACAAUUGGCAUUUGCACUUGGCUGAAAAGCCAAUGGUGCGAAGCUACCAUCUGUUGGAUUAUGACUGAACGCCUCUAAGUCAGAAUCCUUGCUAGAACGCAACGAUAAUUACCUCCGGAGAAUCUUAGGCGAACAAGGAUAGAGAACGGGCUUGCCCGCUCUCCUGCGUCCCAAUGUGCCAAGAGGGAAAACAACCCUCAAGGCACUAAAGUAUAUCAAAGUUUAAAAUUUCUGGAGAUAAAUCCUUUGCAGACGACUUAAAUAAAGAACGGGGUAUUGUACGUUGUAGAGUAGCCUUGUUGCUACGAUCUUCUGAGAUUAAGCCUUUGUUCUACGAUUUGU